AGUCCAUGUAUGGUGUUGAAGCACCUGAAAAAUUUGCUGAGGAAAGAGGAAAGCUGGAACCAAAAGGAAACCCAGGAUACUGAAAUGCUGAUGGUGGGAAUGAAACUGCUGGAGAAGACAGUAAAACAGGGCCUCUGUACAUAUCAGGUGUAUAUGAUGAAACUUCAGAUGUUGGACCAACCAUUCUCUGCGGUCCAUUGCCACGUUCAGGCAAGACUUGAGGAAUGCUCAUUGCUGAAUAAUUGUUAACAGCAGGAAACCAAGAUGAGAAGCCAGGCCUUAUUCCACUGAUCAUUGGCUGUGCACUUCGGGAAUUUUGACUAAAACCCAGAGAUGACUCAACAACGUUAACAUCAUCAACAGCAGGUCCAUCGUUUAAAUCAAAAUCCCUACUACCACCAGAAGAUAAGUUUGUCUGUUGAAAAGUUGAAUUCACCCGAUGACCACUGCUUACCGUAUGAUUAUUCAUAUCGGCUGGAUCAUCAAGUCUGUUUAGAUCAAGAUCCAGUACGCCACAGGGAUUUGUGGGAUUGGCAAAUCUUUGGGAAGGCAGAUCUUCAAGAACUCUUUCAUCCGGUACAUUUAGGUCGAAGUCCAAGAAUGUCUUUGUUUGCUUGCCAGCGGUUGUAGAAGCAUCACAGGAAGCCACAUUAUUCAUGCUUAGUGGCACCACCUCUUGGACUUUUCUUGGCUCAGCUGGUCGGAAGGCGCUAGUGGCAGCAGAUCCUCUCCACCCAACAGCUGGUUUAUUUCUCAACAGAUCAUCACGCGGAACAAAAGCACCCUUUGCAGCAGCAGCAACUGUAAUGGAUGCAGGAGGUCGACUGGUUUGUAAAGGAGUAGAUGUCAAAGACAACGAUCCAGAGAAGUUACUUGAAUUCUCCUUUCGUGUGUCAUCCCCAUUGAAAGCUUCAUUUAGGUCAAAUUUAACUCCGGCUUCCAGCUCUGACCCUGCUAAAGCUGAAACUGAAGGGACAUCUUUGGCAACAGAGGUACAUUCCUCUGUUUCAUGCCCAUCAGCACAUGUUGUCGUGGCGCACUGUUUUCCGACUUCAGCACUCUUUAGAGACGCCUCCACAUGCUCAACUUCAAUCUUAGUUACAGAUGAGUCCAGAUGAGCUGUCACAGGUUUGUUCUUUUUAUCUGUUUGGUUCACAUGAUUAAUCCCUAUGUCGAUCUUUUCUGCAGCCACUCCCUUGGAGAACCCAGACGAAACUUUUACAUCUUCACCCGUUUCUUUAACCAACUCGGAACUCAAGACUACCGGGGGUUUCUGCUCUUUCUUGUUAUCAUCGACUACAUCAGAGUGCGAAUUUGCAACAGCCAAGGAAUCUACUUUGGGACAUAAUACGAUGGCUUUACAUUCAGCUGGCGCAGAAGUUUCCACUGAUGUACAAGCAGCCUUUCGAUCGUUAGCUGUUCCAUCACAAUCAUUAUCAUCAGACAAUUUCUCUGGCAUCGAUCUAUCAACAUUUUCAGUACUCCUAUCCUUGGCAAACUCUGACAAAACUGAAACCACUUCACCCAUUUUAUUAACUAGCUCAGAACUUAAUAUCACCUUUGGUUUAUCUUCCACCUGAGCACCACCAGCAGCCUCCAAGUGUGAAUCUUCAGCAGUCAAAGAAUCUGCAUUUUGACUUAUGCCAAUGGUUUUACAUAUACGUAGGGCAGAGUUUCCUGUCCUCAUCACUGUAUCUGCCACUCCAUCUGUCUCUGAUAUCUCAUCAGUCUUUAGGUCACUAACUACCCCACUAUCACCAUCAUCAGAAAUGUUUCCCCCAAUGCCUGAUGUGUGCCCAGCGGUUGGGGCAAUAUCAUCUGAAUUUUCAUUGCUUUCUAGGCACUGAUCCACCAAUCUUUGCAACUCUUCGAUUUCUGAAUCGGAGUUCUCAUCAAGAUCUCCCGGCUUAGAAUCAUUUUCAUUCUCUACAACGGCCAACUGCUCGCCACUACUACUGACAUGUUCAACAAUGGUGGGAUUCACAUUAUCCGCUUGCUCGCUAGGCAAGCCAUCCAAAGAAUCUGAAACCCGAGAUACCGAGGGUGAUGCAACAGGGGAUUUGGACAUUUCAUCAGCAGCAACAGUAGCUAGAAGAUUCAUUCCAACAUCAUCUGCACCAGCCACACAUGCAUUCGCCUCAGAGUCCCUGACACAACUUUCAAUCAAAGCAUUCAUUAAGCUGUGUGAUUCACCAUGCCCUUUUUCAGUUUUGACAUCAUCUCCCGAGGUAGGAGACGUGGGCUUGACAAUAUCUUCUAUUUUACUAGACUCAUUAACAGCCUUCUCGUGCUCACCACCACGUUCACCACAUUUAGGCAGCUUAACCAACAACUUAUUGCUACAACCUUCAGCUUUCUCAAAAGUUACAGUUCUUUGUGAUGAGAUGCUCCUGCUCAGCCCACCUUCUGCGUGGACUGCAACAGUAUUUUUUUGCUGCCCAACGUUAGCAACAGCAACACCUGUUCCAGGUGAUGGGGCUGAUCUAGUAGAACUUGGAGAGGUGGUUGCAGACUUCACGCUGUUAUCUGAAAUACCGGACACGGACUUAAAAGGAUGCAGAGGAGAUACUGAUGUCUUGGUUGCAUCAAAGGAUACAACUGAGUGUCUACUGCCAUGGGAAACUUCAGACUGACGAGGUCUUCCAGGCUUGGCAUCCAUUUCUGCCUCAACACGUUUCUUCCAUGUAUCAACCAAGCUCCUUGCCUUUUUCCCAAUUUCUGAGUUCUUAUGUGAUCGCAAUCGAUUAACAGACUUCCCAAUGUUGCAAGUCUGAAGAGCAUUGAGGUUCACAGGCAGCUUGUCAAGAGCACGUAGUAAAAUCAAAAGAAACUCGUCCACUGAUCUAUCAUUGUCUUUGGGACUGCUCCCAUCCCCAAUUUUCCUUCUAUGAAUCUCCUGUAGCCACUCAUCAAAAACAGAUAAACCCCUCAGCUGGACGAAACGACUGAGACAGUCAAACUUGUCUGUUGCAGCUACAGCACUUGCAAGAAUGGACCGCCCAAUCAAAUCUGUCUUCUUCUCAUUCUUCUCAGGUAGCAUGAGCUGUACCAAUUUCUCAACCCCUUCAGAAUCCACUAGCCUCCCUCUCUCAGUAAUUUUUGCAAUCUCAGACUUCAAACUGCUUUCUUUUCUUACAAAACCAGAACCACCAUCAUCACCUCGGCUCGGACGUUCCCUUUUCACAGAUUCAGAACCCUGAUCACCACGCUCUCUCUUCCUUCCCUUGCCCUGUGAAGAAGAGGAGCUACUGUUCUGCAUACCUUCUGUUCCUGUUUUCACUUGAGAUGUUGUUAACCUAGGAGAACAACCACACUGCUGUAAACUCUUACACAAUAAGUUAUCUACUUCUUGUUGACGUUCCUGCAUAAAAAAAAAAGACUUGUCAAAACCAGAGAAGAAACAUAAUUGGAUAACGAAUUUUAAUCACUCACUCACUCACAUCGAUAUAAUCUUGAUCAGUGAGCCACCAAAUAGACUCAUUCAUAACAUCAUAAACCCUCCAGCAAACAAACGAAGAGAUUCCAGAUGGGAGUUCAACGCCUCUGGGAAGAAAGGUAACUUUACACGGAUGAAGCAAAGACGCAGCAGGUAUCUCAUCCUCGUGAAAGGAGUAAAAGAUCUCGUUAGGCUGAGCCUCCAAAAGGACGCCCUUCCCAAGCUUCAACUCACCGGGUCGAUACAGCCAAUUCACACGAACCUUAAAGCUGCCUCCUUCUUCUCGUUCCGGAACCAGCAAACGGAUCAAACCAAUGAACGGUGGACAAUCCUGAGGCGGCUUGAACAGAGCACAGUCACCAACACUAAUCCUCCUCCCGUCCUGCAAUAACCAUCAUCAAAAUCAAAACUUUAAAUCAAAUCGGAACCAAUCAAAAGCCAAUUGAGACGAAUCAAGUUACCUUAGAGAAGGAAGAAGGUGAAGAAAGAGAGAGCGACGAAGAAGAAGAAGAAGCGGUUGAGAUUAGACGCGAAGGAGGUCUAAGCAUAAGCAGACGACGAUGACCUUUCUUCCUCCCAUGCAUAGCCGUCUCUCAUUUUUUCCCCUUUCGAAUCAAAACAAACACAAUUUCGUCUUCCUUGUCAGAAUUGGUUUUCGAUUAAAAAAAACCCUAAAAUUGAGAUUAAAAGAAGAAGAUGCGAUUCCUUAGGGAUUGAUUUUUGAAAUCGAGUACCUGAUCCAAUCAACCCGCGAAGAUCCAACAGCGAGAAGAAGAAGAAACCCCCGUAGAGUGCGAGACACGAAUCGAAAGCACGCCCUUGUUUGUUUUUUCGAUCCAGCGAAGAAGAAGAAGAAGAAGAAGAAGAAAAAAAAAUAAAAUCGAGAGAGAGAGAGAGAGAGAGACGAAGGCAAAAGGGGGGUACUACGAGUCGGGGCAGUUCGGGCAUGUGUUUCGGGCAGCGUUUUUAUUUAUUUUGUUUUUGGUUUUCUGGUGACAUUUGAGUGUGUUUUUCUUUUCUCCCCCCUUUUUAUAGCUCUUUUUGAUUUUUCUAAUUUUUUCCUAAAUUUAAAACAAAACGAACUUCGUGAUUUAAAAAAAAAAGUUAUUUGGGUUAAACACAAAAAAAAGUCUGAUCAUUUAUAAAAAUCAAACGAAAUUUAGGAUCAUUUUUAAUCAACAAACUCAAAAAUAAAUGUGAGUACUUUAUAAAAUAAAAUUAGAGAAAUGUUCUGCUCAUUUUGUUUCAUAUAAUGUAUUUUAAAAAAUGUUCUCGCGUAUUUAAAAUUGAAUUAGAAACUCUAUUUUAUCCGUUGACACACUUUUUUAUUUAUUUAAUACACUAAUACAAUAAGGUUAAAAAUGAACAUUUAUUUAAAUUUUGUAUUGAAAAUAAAAAACGACACACUUUUUGAAAUAAAAAUAAAACUCUAAACACACUUUUUAAGAAACUGGGAAGUAUUAUCUAAUAUUUAUAGAAGAAAAUAUCACAUUCAUCUAAAAAUAGAAAAAAAAAUAUAACAUAUUGGAGUAAAAUCUUCAUUUUCUGUAUCUUUAGAUAUGUGCACAUUUUCUUGCCAAGAAGAUAAGAAAUAUUGAAAUUUUCUUUUUUCCAUGUAGAUCAGAUCUGGUCUGAGAGAGCGUCUCUUUGGAACGUAUCAGCCAUGACUAAUACUUAUCUUAUAAAAUAAGUGUCGUAAAAAAAUGGAGUAAAAUUCCUAUGUAUUUGAAAAAUUCUAUUUUUAGUGGAAAAAAACUAGAAGAGAGAUUAUCUAUAUAGCAAGCAAACUAAAAUUAUAAGCAUGAAUAAGUUGUUUCCACAAGUUUACAAAACCGAUCAGUUUAUAUAAUAAUUUUGUGAUUUGAUCCAGUUUAUUCUGGCUGAUUACGGUUUGAAUGUGGUGACCUACCCUCCACAACAAGUUAUGUUUGGUUAUGAUUUUUAUGCGAGGAUCUUUUGGUUACAUUGUACAGUGUCAAAUCACUGUCAUCAAAGUACAAGUCAAUCAUUGUCUCUCUUUGACACAGACAUUAACUUUUUUUACAAUGAGACUAAGAAGCUAUUUGAGUAGCUUCCAGUGACAUGUCUUCUUCACUCACCGAUAGCUCCAAAACAUGUUCUUCACAAGGCACAAAAUAUGUAGAACAUCUCAAAGAUUUUGAGACAGUAAGGUUAAGCUAACUGAAGGUUCCAUAUUUGCAUAGGUGACAAGACUAGUCAAAAUUGGCAAUUGGAGAUGGUGCAAAAGAUGUUAGGAAUGCUUCAAGAAGCAGAUAUAGGAGUUGGGAUCAGUGGAGUGGAAGCAAUGCAGGUUCUUUAAAGAAUCUUAGGACAACCAUUUGCACGGUUUUGUAUCAAGGUAUAAUGAAUCAUUCAAAUCAAAAAGAGCUGCGUAGUUUGCUGUAUAGUGGAGUUUCUUAACCCAAAGCCUUGCUUCGUUUGCUGUAACUGUUCCCUAUAUUGUACCAGGAAGUGGUACAAAAUCUCCCCUUUGGUUGUUACAUGGCUUCUGCAGCACAAUAACCAUUUUCUUCCUCUGCAAAACCUCUCUUGAAUCCCAAGCUUUCAACCACCAAGGGAAAACCGCAGGGGAGAGAGAGAUUUUUGGAGGAACUAUGUACACAUGUGGGUUGAGUUAGCAGAUGGUACAAUCAGUUACUACCUGUUAUUGCAAAUUUGCAAUAUAUGAGCCAUUUUGUUAUAACAGAGACAAAGUUCUGAAAUGUGGAUUCAAACAUAACUAACCACAAGUAAAAAAAAUCUACAAAAGAGUUGCUGCUGACUAUAUAAUACACAAACCAUGUCAGAUUUUACCAGUCUCAUACCAACAAUGACCAUCAUUUUUUCUUUUACAGCAGAGCUCCAAAAAAAAGAGAAAAAAAAAACAUAAACUAAACACUCGCUUGCAUCUCUAAAAGAGAUAAGGAACUAAGUUAGCGUCUGCUUUUAUCUUCAAGAGUACCUAAGAGCCAACAAAGAUUGAAUUAGAAACACAGUCAGCGAGAGAUAAUAUAAAGAAACAGAAGAUGGUAGAGCUGAAAGAAGAGAGUAAAAAUAUGCUUACAUGCUUAGUGCAACGGCCUACAAAGAGAUUCUGAGGUUUGUUAUUGCCAAGAGGGUUGCUUGUAUCCAUCCCAUCCACCACUGUCUGGUUCCUUCCUCUUGAGAGUACCACCAAACAUUUGAUACAUUCUUGCUUCAUCUUUCAAGGGUAAAGAACCAGAGGAAGAUAGCUGUCUUUGUACAAGUGCUGCUUCAUCUCUGCCAUCAGUUUCAUGCCCUCCUGGUCCAGAGUUCAAGUCAAGACCAGAUCUAAACCAUUUUGCAUUGUUGCUGCUGUCCGAAACUCCACCAUUGCUACUACCGUUUGGGAGAUUAACGACAUAAGGUCUUGGGUAGUUAGAAGGGAUGGCAACUCCUGGACCCAAUAUUUGAGAGUUGACAGGAGGGAAGCAUAGCCUGCCACUUGAUGAAGAGUCCAUGUAUGGUGUUGAAGCACCUGAAAAAUUUGCUGAGGAAAGAGGAAAGCUGGAACCAAAAGGAAACCCAGGAUACUGAAAUGCUGAUGGUGGGAAUGAAACUGCUGGAGAAGACAGUAAAACAGGGCCUCUGUACAUAUCAGGUGUAUAUGAUGAAACUUCAGAUGUUGGACCAACCAUUCUCUGCGGUCCAUUGCCACGUUCAGGCAAGACUUGAGGAAUGCUCAUUGCUGAAUAAUUGUUAACAGCAGGAAACCAAGAUGAGAAGCCAGGCCUUAUUCCACUGAUCAUUGGCUGUGCACUUCGGGAAUUUUGACUAAAACCCAGAGAUGACUCAACAACGUUAACAUCAUCAACAGCAGGUCCAUCGUUUAAAUCAAAAUCCCUACUACCACCAGAAGAUAAGUUUGUCUGUUGAAAAGUUGAAUUCACCCGAUGACCACUGCUUACCGUAUGAUUAUUCAUAUCGGCUGGAUCAUCAAGUCUGUUUAGAUCAAGAUCCAGUACGCCACAGGGAUUUGUGGGAUUGGCAAAUCUUUGGGAAGGCAGAUCUUCAAGAACUCUUUCAUCCGGUACAUUUAGGUCGAAGUCCAAGAAUGUCUUUGUUUGCUUGCCAGCGGUUGUAGAAGCAUCACAGGAAGCCACAUUAUUCAUGCUUAGUGGCACCACCUCUUGGACUUUUCUUGGCUCAGCUGGUCGGAAGGCGCUAGUGGCAGCAGAUCCUCUCCACCCAACAGCUGGUUUAUUUCUCAACAGAUCAUCACGCGGAACAAAAGCACCCUUUGCAGCAGCAGCAACUGUAAUGGAUGCAGGAGGUCGACUGGUUUGUAAAGGAGUAGAUGUCAAAGACAACGAUCCAGAGAAGUUACUUGAAUUCUCCUUUCGUGUGUCAUCCCCACUGAAAGCUUCAUUUAGGUCAAAUUUAACUCCGGCUUCCAGCUCUGACCCUGCUAAAGCUGAAACUGAGGGAAGAUCUUUGGCAGCAGAGGUAAAUUCCUCUGUUUCAUGCCCAUCAGCACAUGUUGUCGUGGCGCACUGUUUUCCGACUUCAGCACUCUUUAGAGACGCCUCCACAUGCUCAACUUCAAUCUUAGUUACAGAUGAAUCCAGAUGAGCUGUCACAGGCUUGUUCUUUUUAUCUGUCUGGUUCACAUGAUUAAUCCCCACGUCCAUCUUUUCUGCAGCUAUGCCCUUGGAGAGCUUGGACGAAACAGUUACAUCUUCAGCCGUUUCUUUAUCCAAUUCAGAACUCAAGACUACCGGGGGUUUAUGCUCUUCCUUGUUAUCAGAGUGUGAAUUUGCAACAACCAAGGAUUCUACUUUGGGACAUAAUACGAUGGCUUUACAUUCAGCUGGCGCAGAAGUUUCCACUGAUGUACAAGCAGCCUUUCGAUCGUUAGCUGUUCCACCACAAUCAUUAUCAUCAGACAAUUUCUCUGGCAUCGAUCUAUCAACAUUUUCAGUACUCCUAUCCUUGGCAAACUCUGACAAAACUGAAACCACUUCACCCAUUUUAUUAACUAGCUCAGAACUUAAUAUCACCUUUGGUUUAUCUUCCACCUGAGCACCACCAGCAGCCUCCAAGUGUGAAUCUUCAGCAGUCAAAGAAUCUGCAUUUUGACUUUUGCCAAUGGUUUUACAUAUACGUAAGGCAGAGUUUCCUGUCCUCAUCACUGUAUCUGCCACUCCAUCUGUCUCUGAUAUCUCUUCAGUCUUUUGGUCACUAACUACCCCACUAUCACCAUCAUCAGAAAUGUUUCCCCCAAUGCCUGAUGUGUGCCCAGCGGUUGGGGCAAUAUCAUCUGAAUUUUCAUUGCUUUCUAGGCACUGAUCCACCAAUCUUUGCAACUCUUCGAUUUCUGAAUCGGAGUUAUCAUCAAGAUCUCCCGGCUUAGAAUCAUUUUCAUUCUCUACAACGGCCAACUGCUCGCCACUACUACUGACAUGUUCAACAAUGGUGGGAUUCACAUUCUCAGCUUGCUCGCUAGGCAUGCCAUCCAAAGAAUCUGAAACCCGAGAUACCGAGGGUGAUGCAACAGGGGAUUUGGACAUUUCAUCAGCAGCAACAGUAGCUAGAAGAUUCAUUCCAACAUCAUCUGCACCAGCCACACAUGCAUUCGCCUCAGAGUCCCUGACACAACUUUCAAUCAAAGCAUUCAUUAAGCUGUGUGAUUCACCAUGUCCUUUUCCAGUUUUGACAUCAUCUCCUGAGGUAGGAGACGUGGGCUUGACAAUAUCUUCUAUUUUACUAGACUCAUUAACAGCCUUCUCGUGCCCAUCACCACGUUCACCACAUUUAGGCAGCUUAACCAUCAACUUAUUGCUACAACCUUCAGCUUUCUCAAAAGUUACAGUUCUUUGUGAUGAGAUGCUCCUGCUCAGCCCAACUUCUGCGUGGACUGCAACAGUAUUUCUUUGCUGCCCAACGUUAGCAACAGCAACACCUGUUCCAGGUGAUGGGGCUGAUCUAGUAGAACUUGGAGAGGUGGUUGCAGACUUCACGCUGUUAUCUGAAAUACCGGACACGGACUUAAAAGGAUGCAGAGGAGAUACUGAUGUCUUGGUUGCAUCAAAGGAUACAACUGAGUGUCUACUGCCAUGGGAAACUUCAGACUGACGAGGUCUUCCAGGCUUGGCAUCCAUUUCUGCCUCAACACGUUUCUUCCAUGUAUCAACCAAGCUCCUUGCCUUUUUCCCAAUUUCUGAGUUCUUAUGUGAUCGCAAUCGAUUAACAGACUUCCCAAUGUUGCAAGUCUGAAGAGCAUUGAGAUUCACAGGCAGCUUGUCAAGAGCACGUAGUAAAAUCAAAAGAAACUCGUCCACUGAUCUAUCAUUGUCUUUGGGACUGCUCCCAUCCCCAAUUUUCCUUCUAUGAAUCUCCUGUAGCCACUCAUCAAAAACAGAUAAACCCCUCAGCUGGACGAAACGACUGAGACAGUCAAACUUGUCUGUUGCAGCUACAGCACUUGCAAGAAUGGACCGCCCAAUCAAAUCUGUCUUCUUCUCAUUCUUCUCAGGUAGCAUGAGCUGUACCAAUUUCUCAACCCCUUCAGAAUCCACUAGCCUGCCUCUCUCAGUAAUUUUUGCAAUCUCAGACUUCAAACUGCUUUCUUUUCUUACAAAACCAGAACCGCUAUCAUCAACCCGGCUCGGACGUUCCCUUUUCACAGAUUCAGAACCCUGAUCACCACGCUCUCUCUUCCUUCCCUUGCCCUGUGAAGAAGAGGAGCUACUGUUCUGCAUACCUUCUGUUCCUGUUUUCACUUGAGAUGUUGUUAACCUAGGAGAACAACCACACUGCUGUAAACUCUUACACAAUAAGUUAUCUACUUCUUGUUGACGUUCCUGCAUAAAAAAAAAAGACUUGUCAAAACCAGAGAAGAAACAGAAUUGGAUAAUAAUGAAUUAUGAUCUCACUCACUCACAUCGAUAUAAUCUUGAUCAGUGAGCCACCAAAUAGACUCGUUCAUAACAUCAUAAACCCUCCAGCAAACAAACGAAGAGAUUCCAGAUGGGAGUUCAACGCCUUUGGGAAGAAAGGUAACUUUACACGGAUGAAGCAAAGACGCAGCAGGUAUCUCAUCCUCGUGAAAGGAGUAGAAGACUUCGUUAGGCUGAGCCUCCAAAAGGACGCCCUUGCCAAGCUUCAACUCACCGGGUCGAUACAGCCAAUUCACACGAACCUUAAAGCUGCCUCCUUCUCGUUCCGGAACCAGCAAACGGAUCAAACCAACGAACGGUGGACAAUCCUGAGGCGGCUUGAACAGAGCACAGUCACCAACACUAAUCCUCCUCCCGUCCUGCGAAAAAAAAGAUCAAAACUUUAAAUCAAAUCGGAACCAAUCAAAGCCAGUUGACACGAAUCAAGUUACCUUAGAGAACGAAGAAGGUGAAGAAAGAGAGAGAGACGAAGAAGAAGAAGCGGUUGAGAUUAGACGCGAAGGAGGUCUAAACAUAAGCAGACGACGAUGACCUUUCUCCCUCCCAUGCAUAGCCGUCUCUCAUUUUUUCCCCUUUCGAAUCAAAACAAACACAAUUUCGUCUUCCUUUUCAGAAUUGGUUUUCGAUUACAAUUGAAAAAAAAAAACCCUAAUUGAGAUUAAAAGAAGAAGAUGCGAUUCCUUAGGGAUUGAUUUUUGAAAUCGAGUACCUGAUCCAAUCAACCCGCGAAGAUCCAACAGCGAGAAGAAGCAGAAACCCCCGUAGAGUGCGAGAGAGAUUGAACACGAAUCGAAAGCACGCCCUUGUUUGUUUUUCGAUCCAGCGAAGAAGAAGAAGAAGAAAAAAUAAAAUCGAGAGAAAGAGAAGAGAUGAAGGCAAAAGGGGGGUACUACGAGUCGGGGCAGUUCGGGCAUGUGUUUCGGGCAGCGUUUUUAUUUAUUUUGUUUUUUGGUUUUCUGGUGACAUUUGAGUGUGUUUUCUUUUCUCCCCCCCCACCCCCCCUUUUAAUAGCUUUUUUGAUUUUCUAAUUUUUUCCUAAAUUUAAAACAAAACGAACUUCGUGAUUUAAAAAAAAAAAUUAUUUGGGUUAAACACAAAAAAAAGUCUGAUCAUUUAUAAAAUCAAACGAAAUUUAGGAUCAUUUUCAAUCAAUAAACUCGAAAAGUAAAAUGUGAGUUUCACUCUCGUUUUGUUUCAUAAAAAAUGUCUUCUGAAAAAAAUUCACGUGUAUUAAAAAAUUAAUUAGAAACUCUAUUUUUUCCGUUGACACACUAAAUUCUUUUUUUAUUUAAUACACUAUUACAUUAAGAUUAAAAAUGAACAUUUAUUUAAAAUUUUGUAUUGAAAACACAAUAAAACACACUUUUUGAAACAAAAAAAAACUCUAAGACACACUUCUCAAGAAACAGAAGAAGUAUUAUCUAAUAUUUAUAGAAGAAAAUAUAACAUUCAUAUAAAAAUAGAAAAAAAAAUAUAUAAUAUAUUAGAGUAAAAUUUGCAUCUCCCAUAUCCUUAGAUUCAGAAAUAUCUGUGUAAAUUUUCUUACCAAAAAGGCAAGAAAUAGUGGAGUUUUUUUUCCAUGUAAAUCAGAUACAGUCGGAGGAAGCGUUUCUUCGGAACGUCUCAGCUCCUACUAACACUUGAUCUUAUAAAAUGGGUGUCGUAAAAAAAAUGGAGUAAAAUCUUUAUGUAUUUGAGAAAUUCUGUUUUAAGUGGAAAAAAACUAGAAGAGAGAUUAUCUAUAUAACAAGCAAAUUAAAAUUUUAAUCAUGAACAAGUUGUUUCUACAAGUUUACAAAACCGAUCAGUUUAUAUAAUAAUUUUUGUGAUUUGAUCCGGUUUAUUCUGGCUGAUUUCGGUUUGAAUGUGGUGACCUACCCUCCACAACAAGUUAUUUGCUUAUGAUUUUUAUGGGAGGAUCUUGUGGUUACAUUGUCCAGUGUCAAAUCACUGUCAUCAAAGUACAAGUGACCAAUCAUUGUCUCUCUUUGACACAGACAUUAACUUUUUUUACAAUGAGACUAAGAAGCUAUUUGAGUAGCUUCCAGUGACAUGUCUUCUUCACUCACCGAUAGCUCCAAAACAUGUUCUUCACAAGGCACAAAAUAUGUAGAACAUCUCAAAGAUUUUGAGACAGUAAGGUUAAGCUAACUGAAGGUUCCAUAUUUGCAUAGGUGACAAGACUAGUCAAAAUUGGCAAUUGGAGAUGGUGCAAAAGAUGUUAGGAAUGCUUCAAGAAGCAGAUAUAGGAGUUGGGAUCAGUGGAGUGGAAGCAAUGCAGGUUCUUUAAAGAAUCUUAGGACAACCAUUUGCACGGUUUUGUAUCAAGGUAUAAUGAAUCAUUCAAAUCAAAAAGAGCUGCGUAGUUUGCUGUAUAGUGGAGUUUCUUAACCCAAAGCCUUGCUUCGUUUGCUGUAACUGUUCCCUAUAUUGUACCAGGAAGUGGUACAAAAUCUCCCCUUUGGUUGUUACAUGGCUUCUGCAGCACAAUAACCAUUUUCUUCCUCUGCAAAACCUCUCUUGAAUCCCAAGCUUUCAACCACCAAGGGAAAACCGCAGGGGAGAGAGAGAUUUUUGGAGGAACUAUGUACACAUGUGGGUUGAGUUAGCAGAUGGUACAAUCAGUUACUACCUGUUAUUGCAAAUUUGCAAUAUAUGAGCCAUUUUGUUAUAACAGAGACAAAGUUCUGAAAUGUGGAUUCAAACAUAACUAACCACAAGUAAAAAAAAUCUACAAAAGAGUUGCUGCUGACUAUAUAAUACACAAACCAUGUCAGAUUUUACCAGUCUCAUACCAACAAUGACCAUCAUUUUUUCUUUUACAGCAGAGCUCCAAAAAAAAGAGAAAAAAAAAACAUAAACUAAACACUCGCUUGCAUCUCUAAAAGAGAUAAGGAACUAAGUUAGCGUCUGCUUUUAUCUUCAAGAGUACCUAAGAGCCAACAAAGAUUGAAUUAGAAACACAGUCAGCGAGAGAUAAUAUAAAGAAACAGAAGAUGGUAGAGCUGAAAGAAGAGAGUAAAAAUAUGCUUACAUGCUUAGUGCAACGGCCUACAAAGAGAUUCUGAGGUUUGUUAUUGCCAAGAGGGUUGCGUGUAUCCAUCCCAUCCACCACUGUCUGGUUCCUUCCUCUUGAGAGUACCACCAAACAUUUGAUACAUUCUUGCUUCAUCUUUCAAGGGUAAAGAACCAGAGGAAGAUAGCUGUCUUUGUACAAGUGCUGCUUCAUCUCUGCCAUCAGUUUCAUGCCCUCCUGGUCCAGAGUUCAAGUCAAGACCAGAUCUCAACCAUUUUGCAUUGUUGCUGUCCGAAACUCCACCAUUGCUGUUUGGGAGAUUAACGACAUAAGGCCUUGGGUAGUUAGAAGGGAUGGCAACUCCUGGACCCAAUAUUUGAGAGUUGACAGGAGGGAAGCAUAGCCUGCCACUUGAUGAAGAGUCCAUGUAUGGUGUUGAAGCACCUGAAAAAUUUGCUGAGGAAAGAGGAAAGCUGGAACCAAAAGGGAACCCAGGAUACUGAAAUGCUGAUGGUGGGAAUGAAACUGCUGGAGAAGACAGUAAAACAGGGCCUCUGUACAUAUCAGGUGUAUAUGAUGAAACUUCAGAUGUUGGACCAACCAUUCUCUGCAGUCCAUUGCCUCGUUCAGGCAAGACUUGAGGAAUACUCAUUGCUGAAUAAUUGUUAACAGCAGGAAACCAAGAUGAGAAGCCAGGCCUUAUUCCACUGAUCACUGGCUGUGCACUUCGGGAAUUUUGACUAAAACCCAGAGAUGACUCAGCGUUAACAUCAUCGACAGCAGGUCCAUCGUUUAAAUCAAAAUCCCUACUACCACCAGAAGAUAAGUUUGCCUGUUGAAAAGUUGAA
rnacentral:lncRNA from 1 species